GGAUUUUAAGGACAGAGCGAGUACGAGUCAGAGUGGGCCCAGGAUUCUGACUAUAUGAUGGACCUAUGUCAGCAAGCUUGCCAUGCUACAAGUAUGAAAGAGUUUGGUCCAUCAUCUUUUAACACAGAAAGGUGUGAGGCUUUCAACUCAAAGAUGAGAAACUACAAUGUAUACUCUAAUAAAGCUCUGCUGCGUCAAGUAGAGACAUUGCUCUCAGCUUUUCUGUGUUGGAAGACAUCAGGCUUGUGUGUGACGGGAAAACGACACUCAGUUUUGGCAGGAGCGUUGAGUUAGGACUGGUACACAUGUACCAUUCAAAUGCGGUCCAAAAGUUUCUGAAUGGAGCAACACCACCCAAACACAAGGCGAUAUACCAGCCAGGAGCACUCAGAAUGAAACAAGUACAGCCUGCAUCUCUCUCGAGUGUUGAGCUUAAUGUGGGUGGAGAGGUGAUGACCCUGGGAAGCCUUCCCACUGGCCUGUCUGUGGAUCUUCUUGAGACCUUCAACCUGCGGGAUGAUGUCCAAAGAUAUGGAGGUGUUGUGUCACAAGCUGGCCAACUUGUUCACUGUGGGCAAUCUGUUAAAUUGGCCACCACAGACAACAUG